AGCCAAAGGAAUAUUAGUGUGUGUGUGUGUGUGUGUGUGUGUAUGUGUGUGUGUAGUGUGUGGUGUAUGCAUGUGUGUGAGUUUCUGGAGUACUGUUAACAUUGAAUUGUUGGAUAUCCCCUUUCAUUGCUCCCCUGUCCUCUUGUCUUGUUAAGCUUAGACAGGGUCUCUUGCUCAACCUGACGCUCACCAAUUGGCUACAGUGCUGGGCAGUGUGUCCCUGGGAUUGUCCUGCUUCUGUCUAUCAACAGCGAGAUGAAAAGCUGCCACACCCAGUUUGUACCGGAGUAUUAGGGGUCCCCAUGCUGGAGCAGCUACCACUUUACCGGCCGAGCCAUCUCCCCAGAUUCAAGUCUUCUUUGUUUUUAAAGUGAAAGGACAGUUGUGUUAGUUCCAGACAUGAAAAACCACACUCUAGAAGGUUCUAGGGCCCUGUGUAGUCAGUGCCUGCCAAUGUCUGCAGCACCAGCUUUUGUCAGAGACCAUCCUGUGAGAAAGUGAGCCCUUCACAAUCUCCCUAGGCGAAAUGGCCUUUGCUAGGAGCUGGUUGUCAUCCCCUCCUCCCUAUUCCCUUCCUGGCACCUCAGUCUGUAAAAGCUGAAUUAUAGUCCCCUCUUCCCUAUCUUUUCCUGAACUCCCAUGCCAUCCAAGGACAGGAGUUACGCUUGAGCCAGCCUGACACCCAAGGCUGUCCAGGAGGAUCUAUGUUCUGAAGAUAAGAUGCAGAGUGCCCGCUGCCUGGUGCCUGACUUCGCCCCCCAUGUCAGCAGAUGCCCGCUUCUUUGUUCUUUGUAAAAUUCCCCCUCGACCCCUUCCCUACUCCCUGAGAUGUAUGCUUUAAAAAUAAGGCACCUCAGCAUAAUAAACAAGACCUGGAGAAAUUUGCUUGGUCUCCUGCUUUCUUUCCCUUCCUCUCAUCUCCUUCCAGGUUUGUGGUCCCCCUCACAACAACGAAUGACUGAAUAUGGCAGGAUGGGAUAGGCUUUCUUUUCCUUUGCAGGCAGGGCUCUAACCCAUGUAAGGCCAUCUUUCUCACAGCUAACAAGUUCCCACCUCAGGGCCUUGGCUCUCUACAUUCCUUUGGAGGACUCUCCCCAGCCCCUUAGGCUCAGCUGUUUCUUCUCUUCAUCUCAGACUUAGCUCUAAAGUUGCUUCCUCUAGGAAGCCUUUUCUGACUGCCACUGUUGAUGUUCUGCCCCUGCCCCAGUUAUUAUUAUGUCACCUCAUUUUGUUUCUCUCAAUAGGACUCACAGGAGGACUGUAGAUAUAGCUCAGUGAUAGAGUCCUUCUCCAGCAUGCACAAAUUUCUGAGUUGUAACUCCACCUACCUUAGCCCUGACCCCAGAACAAAAUAAACUGUACAUAGAGUGUAUUCCCACAUAUGCGAGGUAGAGACAGGAAGCUCAGGAGUUCAAGGUUAUCCUUAGCUAUGUAUCAAUUUAGAGGAAAACUUGGGAGACACAUGAGCCUAAACACACACAUACACACAACUUCAAAAUGACACAUUCAUAUGAUAGAGACCCAAACCUCUGACUUUUCUUAGAUUAAAUCCCAAUAGUACAAUAGAGUUUGCACGCUUUGAAAUUGUAGCCUUCUGACAAGAUGAGAAAACAAAGUCCUUGUUUUUGGUGUAUCCCUGUGUAAGCUAGAAAAACAUCUCUCAAAGGUUAAGUGCAAACGAGUUAGCUCGAGGUCUCCCUAAGUCUUGGUAGGAGUGAGUUCUGCAUUUCUACCAGGCUCCCAGGCAGCUGCUGCUCUCCAGACCACAGUUGGCACACCACAGAUUGAGGCAGGAGUUCCUUUAUUCAUAUGGAAAUGUGUUCAUGGCUGUCAUCUUGAGCCUCAGGCUUCCAACAUGGAGGAGGAGGAAGCUUGAAAGUUAGUGUGUCUGAUUGGGGGCAGUGUGGGGAAGUUCAAGGUGGUCCAAUCACCACCCUCCCAACCAGCAUGUUCAUUCCUCUGUAAACAAGUUUCCCAGCCUACUUGAGCAGCUUGCCUGACCUAUCAUGGGUGAAGACCCCAUUCUGUCUUGGCAGAUGGCAGACCAAGGGCGUUCUCAGUAAGGAUUUCAUGUCACCUCUCAUUCUGCCUUCCAAAAGCUAAGUGGUGCCAUGCAAUUAGUUUUCUAGUAAUGGUUAUGGAGUCCAUAGAAAGACCCAGUCUCAAAAAGACAAAUGAAAUUUAUGGAGGUCCUACUCUGUGUCUGCCCCAAUUUAGAGCUUCCCAGAAGCUGAGUGCAAGAGGUGAGCAUCAAGCAGCAGAUUCUGGAGCUGGUGAGCUGGCUCAGUGGUUAAGAGUGCAGACUGCUCUUCCAAAGGUCCUGAGUUCAAAUCCCAGCAACCACAUGGUGGCUCACAACCAUCGGUAACAAAACCUGAUGCUCUCUUCUGGAGUGUCUGAAGACAACUACAGUGUACUUACAUAUAAUAAAUAAAUAAAUAAAUAAAUAAAUAAAUAAAUAAAUAAAUAAAUAAAUAAAUACAUAAAUAAAUAAAUAUUAAGAAGCAGAUGCUUUAGCGAUAAGUGCAAAUUGUUUUAUAAUGGAAGCUUCUAGAACAGAUUGGGGUUGAGAUGUAAUGUAAAUUUAGUGAAAUGAGUGCUCUCACCUUGUCUGACUCAGUAUUUGUCCAAAAACCAAUCACUUCACAUUUCAGUGAGGAUGGAGACAGGCAGAGAAAUGGGUGGUAGGUGUCUCACUGUACACCAAGAUCUAUUAGUAUUAUUCUUAUUAAUAGUAGUUCUUUUUUCUACAUUCCAGUCAUUAUCCCCCUCCUGGUCUAACCACAACACUUUCUCAUCCCUUUCCUCUUCCCAGUCUCAAAGAUGAUGUCCCUCCCUGCUGCCCCCAUGCACCAAGAUCUUAGUGCUGUGCUCUGCUCUGUUUCUUUUCUGCUGCCUUACAGAUUCUCUGCUUAAUGCUUCAAGGAAGGAGAGUAGCUAAGACCACCAAUUUUGCCCAGACAGGCUGAGAAAGAAGUGAAAAUAGCUGGACCCUCAGGCUCAGGUUUGGGGUUGAUUCUGAAAGAUGACCAAGACACUUUCCAAGCUAUCAAGAAAAAGAAAGUGUUCCAGGCCAAGGAUUUGGUGCGAAGGUAUGAAGGUGUGUGAAGAUGAGGAAGCUCACAUCAAUGUUCCAGGGUCAAAAGCUAGCUAGCCUGUCCUACAGGAAGCCUAUGACGAACAGAGCUGCUCUCAGUGGGGAAACACAGAGGGGCACUGUGAGUUGUGGGGAAGGGCAUUUUGAUCUCAAGGAUGUGGCUGACACUCUCUGCUGAGCAGGUCUAGUGUACUGCAGAUGCUUUAGUGUGGGGCUCUUGGGUGAGUGUUGCAACUUCUCAACUCUCUACAGGUGAAUGAAUGGUGUGGUCAAGAAAGUUUCUCAGACUGGGCAUGGUGGUACAAGCCUUUAAUCCCAGCACUCAGGAGGCAGAGGCAGGCAGAUUUCUGUGUUUGAGGUCAGCCUGGUCUACAAACUGAGUUCCAGGACAGCCAGGGCUAUACAAAAAAACCCUGUCUCAGAAAACAAAAACGAAAGAAAGGAAGAAAGGAAGAGAGGAAGAGAG
rnacentral:lncRNA from 1 species